rnacentral:rRNA from 1 species
GGGGCACCACCAGGAGUGGAGCCUGCGGCUUAAUUUGACUCAACACGGGAAAACUCACCCGACCCGGACACUGGAAGGAUUGACAGAUUGAGAGCUCUUUCUUGAUUCAGUGGGUGGUGGUGCAUGGCCGUUCUUAGUUGGUGGAGUGAUUUGUCUGGUUAAUUCCGAUAACGAACGAGACUCUAGCCUAUUAAAUAGAUCGUUGGCUUACAAACGCCGGCGAGACUUCUUAGAGGGACAGGCGGCGAUUCAGCCGCACGAAACAGAGCAAUAACAGGUCUGUGAUGCCCUUAGAUGUCCGGGGCCGCACGCGCGCUACACUGAAGUGAUCAGCGUGCAUUUUGAAACCUACUCUGUCAAGAGUGGGGAACCCAAUGAACCUUCUUCGUGAUUGGGAUAGGGGAUUGUAAUUAUUCCCCUUGAACGAGGAAUUCCCAGUAAGCGCGAAUCAUAAGUUUGCGCUGAUUACGUCCCUGCCCUUUGUACACACCGCCCGUCGCUACUACCGAUUGAAUGUUU